UUGUUGGCAGACAUGAAAGACGUAGAGCUUCUAAAUGUCCUACACCUUAAUUUAACCCCAAGACUUAAUCAAAUGUAUUAAAAAACAUACUGGAUAUCGUAGUAUUCAUAAUUAAAAUUCUAAUGUGCAUAUUAUUAUUUUUUUUAAAUAUGCAUGUGAUUGUUUUUUAUGUAUCUAUACUUAUUUUGUGCAGUAAUUUACUAUGUAUACUUGUAUAGUUGCUCUAUAUCCUGACCCAGAGGUUUCACCACCAGGAAUGAAGUGUCAGUCAGUUCUCCUACAUUGAUUGCCUUCAAAUUGGAGGGACUACUCCAAUUCGAGCAGAAAAUAGCCAAACUGUUUCCAGAGCAUGCUCCAAUAUGCAAGAAAAUUCUCACCAGGGAGUCAUCAAAGUGCAUGCAAUCAAAACUUGUGCUAUGCACGUCUGGCUGUAGGACUUCAUCUGGUGACGACAUUACACAAACACUAAUGGCAGGUAUAUAGCCCAACCUGACCUCUUUGUAAUCAGAUUAGUCAGUGUGCCAAGGAGUCUGAGAAUGGGUAAGUUAACCAACCCAAACACCCCUGAAUUUGUCAGUAAAUUUCUUGCAUGGUCAUAACAGGUGCUCUGUGCAAAAGUGAAUUUAAUGUUGUGGGUUGUACUGCAUUAGUUAACCUUAUUCAGACUUCCAGCAUUAUUAGAAUGACUGCCACAACUAGUUUAGACCCUAAAAUUGCUGCCCAACUGGUAGAUCAUUAUCAUAGAAGACAAAGCUUAAAAAUGUGGUUGUAAACAUAGUAUCCUUGCGAUCAUCUGAUCAGAUUGCACACUGACCUAUAUGGACAGCUAUGUUAAGAAGCCCAGGUUUCAGCUCCUAAGUUAUUAAUUUCAGCAGAGCCAUGUCUGCCACCAAGUCAAUAAAUCACCUAGAGAGUAACAGCACAGGUUUUCUGGGCUUCCUCUUAUGCUGGCAGUCAACUGCAUUACUUAGGCAUUUGAGACCAGAAAGGUGGUUAGACUGAUUUACAUGGGCCAGAUUUGAAUUUAAGCCAGUUAGACACCACGAAAGUCAGAGUUAGUCAGUGCAGAGCUAACUUCACAUGGCCUGGUGCCCAUCUUCAUCUUCCAUGAAAUUCAACAAACAUAUUCUGUAACACUUGCUUCCUUGCUGGAAUCCCCACGUGUUAGACUGCUUUCCUGACAUGUCUAUAAUUUUGUUAAAUUCAGCCUCGUACCAUGAAAUGGAUUUCAUUUACUCUCAUGUCUAUUUGCUCUUAUUGAACUUCAGUAAUUCUUGUCUGUUGUUCAGGUUAAACUCAGUUUAAACAUGUAAAAUAUUAACAGUCUAUAAAAUUACCCACUAUUAACACUAUUUUAUAUACUGUGCAUCCUGAAUAAAAAGUUAAAUUGAAAUAAAAAUUCUAGAAGAAAGACAGAAACAAACAAAUAAUUUAAAAUCCAUUGAUGUGAGUAAUACAUGUAUUGCAGCUUCACUGACUGUGUACUGAUGAAGAACACUGGUAAUCCAGCUAAUGUAUUAAAUAAAAUUUUAAUAGAUUGGCAUACAUUUGAAAUCACAAAGCUAUUAAGAGUUAGUAAGAGUCUUCAAAAGGGCAAAUUGUAUGUUAAAUCCAGACACUAAGUGUUUCUUCUCCCAUGGUGGGGUAAAAAUUAGUUCUUUGAGUACAAUUUGUGUGAAUGUGUAAAUUGACUAGAGUGAUAAUGCUGUUGCCCUUUCUGUCUAAUGCUCUACCCAGAAAAGUAAAGUCAAAACAAUAUAAAGCUAGACAAGUUUGGACCACAAAUUUUAUUUAGUCAUAUACUCUCUGAAAAUACUGCACACUGUAAAAAAUGUAUGUGAAAAUUACAGUAAAAUACUGUGAAAUAGCAACAGUAAAAGACUGUAAAGUCAAAAAUAGCAUAUCACCGUAGAACAUACAUCAAAUUACCGUAAAUAAAGAAACAGUAUGUACUUUUACUUUAAAGUAUGUAAUUAAUACAUUUUUACUGUCCUAAUAUGUAAAAAAUACACAUUGUUACUGUGAAAAUAGAAAAUUUUAGUAAAAUUAACGGUAAAAUGCCAUAACUUCAUAAACAAGUAAUUACCCUAAAAUGAAAGAUAUUACUCUGUCUAAAUUACAGAUUUUGCUGAUAUGUUUAUUUAAAUUUACGAUAUAAAACCUUUCACCAUUCAGCAAAAACAUACCUUCAUUUCUAUAGAAACAAGAUGUCAAAAAUAUGGAAUGUGUUUGUUAAAUUAGGUUGAUUUCAAAUUAAAAUGUUUAAAUAUGUGUUGAAUCUGAUAAUUAAUGUGCUAAUCCAAUUAAAAAGAUUAUAGGCUGUAAUUGUUUGGGUGUUUGUGGUUGUUUUGUGGUUUUGUGUUUAUGUUGUGUUUAUUUGUGUCUGAUAUUGCCCCAGUUUAUUUUUGUUGCUGCAACUUGUACUUCAUUGAAGGCUUCACAGAAAUGAACCACGUUGUUGAUUUAAGUGUUUUGGAGAUGGUUACAAACAUAUUUUGUAGAUAUCUAUCGUUUAAGGUUCAUUAAAGCCUGAGUUCAUUUAAGGAAAUGUUAGGUGAAAUGCACACACACAUGAACGGAACAUAGUUUUGAUUUUUUUAUUUUAAAUAAAUUAUUAAAAUAAAAAGAAUUUGAAGUAUUUCACUAAUGCAACAUUUCAUGUAUGCAUUUAAACUCCUGAGCGGUUAUAGAAUUGGAGGAAACAACAUGCUGCCUGCUGUGAUGACCAGGAACAUGUGGCAGUAAAAACACAGUGGAGAGGGAUGGGAUGAUUUGCAGCAAAGUGCCUAAGCUGGAACUGAAGCUUGACUGCCUGAAUAACAGUAUGUGGUACAAGUUCUACCAGCAGUGGACCUCAUCAAUCUCUUUCCUGUUCUACAAAUCCCCCCUUUUGCUCAGAUGCUGGUCUUGUCCAGGAUAAAUAUUGAGAGGAUCAUAUCAGCCCACAGUGGACAACAUGCAAGUCCUCAAGCUGAACUAGUGACAGUACAUUCUGUAGCUUCCAGUUUCUCGAACAUCAUGUCCAAUUCUAUCCCAUGUCUUCACACAAGUCUGGACUCAGUGACUUAUUCCUCUUGUUCAACCAGGGCAAGUAAGCCCUGAUACAUAAUGUUUAUUUCACCAUGGAUUAUCCAUCAUAUGGACAUGUGCUGUUUUUUCAAGAUUUCAUUACUAAUUUGUGAGUGUUGGACAAGGUAUUUGAUUAAUUCAAACUGUUUUUAACAUUGAAUAUGUACAUGUUUUCUUGCUUUAAUCUGACAAUGAUAUUUUUGUGCCUUGGUUUACAAUGGACCUUAUUCACUUAGUAAUUAAUCAUAAAAAAGUUGUUGAGGCAACUAGGCAAACCAACUGUAAUGCAACCACAGCUGCCAGUAUUUUACCGUAAAAUAUACAGAUUUUUUUUUAUAGUGCAGGUGCCUGAUUUUGACAAACACUAAAUUGUCACUGGAGAUAUUUUUUCUCUCACACAAUGAGUUGCAAGUGUACAAAAUACUGAAGCUCAUGCUGACACGGCUCGCAUCAAAUUUCACUGAGGUAAGAGAAAUAUGAGGCAUCUAAAAAUGUUUAUAUAUGUGUGUUUGGUCACUUGUGGAGAAAAUGCAGCACCUAUUGGUCAAAGUCCAGGAAAACCAUUGACAAAACCUGAUAUUGAUUGUCACUUUGA